UGGGGAAUAUUGCACAAUGGGCGCAAGCCUGAUGCAGCCAUGCCGCGUGUGUGAAGAAGGCCUUCGGGUUGUAAAGCACUUUCAGCGAGGAGGAAGGUGGUGAACUUAAUACGUUCAUCAAUUGACGUUACUCGCAGAAGAAGCACCGGCUAACUCCGUGCCAGCAGCCGCGGUAAUACGGAGGGUGCAAGCGUUAAUCGGAAUUACUGGGCGUAAAGCGCACGCAGGCGGUUUGUUAAGUCAGAUGUGAAAUCCCCGGGCUCAACCUGGGAACUGCAUUUGAAACUGGCAAGCUAGAGUCUCGUAGAGGGGGGUAGAAUUCCAGGUGUAGCGGUGAAAUGCGUAGAGAUCUGGAGGAAUACCGGUGGCGAAGGCGGCCCCCUGGACGAAGACUGACGCUCAGGUGCGAAAGUGUGGGGAGCAAACAGGAUUAGAUACCCUGGUAGUCCACGCUGUAAACGAUGUCGAUUUUGGAGGUUGUGCCCUUGAGGCGUGGCUUCCGGAGCUAACGCGUUAAAUCGACCGCCUGGGGAGUACGGCCGCAAGGUUAAAACUCAAAGG
rnacentral:rRNA from 1 species